AUAAAAUUGAGAAUGGAAAUGGGGAAUGUGUCAAAGAGACAACAACCCGACCAAAUAAAAAACAACAGCAGAGGGUCACCAACAGGUCUUCAAUGUAGCGAGAAAUUCCCGCACCCGGAGGCGUCCUUCAGCUGGCCCCAAAACAAAUAUAUACUAGUCCAGUGAUAAUGAACGCCAUACUAUUUUCCAAAUUGUACACAAGAAACUAAAAUUAAAAUAAUACAAGACUAACAAAGGCCAGAGGCUCCUGACUUGGGACAGGCGCAAAAAUGCGGCGGGGUUAAACAUGUUUGUGAGAUCUCAACCCUCCCC
rnacentral:lncRNA from 1 species